rnacentral:rRNA from 1 species
CCUACGGGGGGCAGCAGUGGGGAAUAUUGGGCAAUGGGCGCAAGCCUGACCCAGCAACGCCGCGUGAAGGAAGAAGGCUUUCGGGUUGUAAACUUCUUUUGUCAGGGAAGAGUAGAAGACGGUACCUGACGAAUAAGCCACGGCUAACUACGUGCCAGCAGCCGCGGUAAUACGUAGGUGGCAAGCGUUGUCCGGAUUGACUGGGUGUAAAGGGUGUGUAGCCGGGUUGAAAAGUCAGAUGUGAAAUCCUGCGGCUUAACCGCAGAACUGCAUUUGAAACUGUUGAUCUUGAGUACUGGAGAGGCAGACGGAAUUCCUAGUGUAGCGGUGAAAUGCGUAGAUAUUAGGAGGAACACCAGUGGCGAAGGCGGUCUGCUGGACAGCAACUGACGGUGAGGCGCGAAAGCGUGGGGAGCAAACAGGAUUAGAUACCCCAGUAGUC